UCAAACCUCAUACCAAUUUCGCAGCGAAUAUCCCACUCUCAGUACUCCCUUCUCCUUCUCUCGGCUUACCCUGCUUCUCGCCGGUGGUUCUCACCAGUGGUCGUCGCCGCUGGGUCUCGCCCGUCGCCGGUGGUAGUCCAGCAAGAGUCUAUUUAAUUUCCUCGCCUCUCACCGGUGGUUCCCUACUCGAAAAAACAACCGGCGAAGUCAUUCCCUGCUCGGAAAACUAAGCUAUAUCCAGACUCUAUCUCCUCCUAUAGUUCGUUUGUCUUUGCUAUCUCAAUUCGUAAGAAACGUCGUCGAUUGCACAGAUGAAAACGGCGAGCAAGCCUCGGAUUAUGGAUAAACAAAUUAUACAAGUGAGACGAUCUCCUCGAGUUGCAAACAAUCCUGCUCCUGUUUAUGCUGAAAUUUCAUUGCCUCGGUUUUCUUCACCCAGAAAGAAUUAUGGAGUAGUAAAAGCAAGAGAUUUCUCAAAUCGAGUAAUAGCAAGCGAUGAUGUGAGAGAAUACACAAUUGAAGAAGCAGAGAAGCUGAAUGCUAAGCUUGAAGAAGAGGGUUUUCCUACUCUUGUUAGACCCAUGCUUCCUUCACAUGUUACUGGUGGUUUGAUUUGGCAUCCCUAAUUUUGACGUCUGCGGAUUUGGUUUUCUCUAAGGGGAGUGUAAGAAAGCAAGGUUGUAACAUCUAUAUUAGGGGAGAAAUUGUAAGGUCCGUCCCCGAUAAAGACGACGCUGUUUUCUCUAAGGGGAGGUAAGCAUAGCGCGAAUUUUUGAGGGAUACGGAAAGCUGAGGAAAAUUGAGAAGGGAGAGAGAGUUUGGACUUCCCUAGGGCAGCAACCCCAGACACUCCUUUUGCUAGGCCUUGUAACAAGGACUUGGGUGCACAAACAAAGAGGUACUUGGGUAUGGUUACUAGUUGGCCCGGGUUAGACCCGUCAGUGGAGUUGAUACGGACUACAUCGGUAGCUAGCUCACCGCCUCUGCGUGGGGUGAUGUUGGUGAAGGGGUUGUUUAGAGAAAGACUUCUACAUGUGUUGUUGUUACACCCGGGCCUAGCUGGAGGAGGGCACGUUCUACAAAUUUUG